AGGAGUAAUAAGUGGACUAGAACAUCUCUCCUCUGAGGAAAGGAUGAGAGACUUGGGAUUGGUCAGCCUGGAAAAGAGAAGGCUUCAGGGUGACCUAAUUAAUGUAUAAACAG